UCCAUUAUUAGCCACAGCAGUCGCAAAAAGAAGGGAAAAGAGAGGAAAAAAACUGCUCUAUCCUCUCCUUUAUCCCUCACGCCGGUACUCUCCCCCCUUUUCAACUCCGACUGAAGUGCAACAAGGGCACCGACGGCGCGCCACCACUGGUGGGUACUUACGGGAUGUGCACAACGUGCGGGGUUGCUGAACGUGGGCGGUUGCUGCGACGUGGGACGUGCGGCGCCAAUCUGCUGUUAGCCACUUAGGGUUUCUGACAUUUUGGUUUUUUGUUAUGGGCUAAUAUUUGGGCUACAUGGGACUGGGCUAUAUUUUGUUUUGGGUUUAUUUGAUCUGAUUUGGGCUUUAUUUAUUGCUACUGGGCCGGGCAAAAAAUUGGUUAUUACAUCAUUCAUAACGAAAUCACAGGUGAGUCAUAAACUUA